rnacentral:rRNA from 1 species
CGGCGGACGGGUGAGUAACACGUGGGUAACCUACCUAUAAGACUGGGACAACUUCGGGAAACCGGAGCUAAUACCAGAUAAGAUAUCGAACCGCAUGGUUCGAUAGUGAAAGAUGGUUUUGCUAUCACUUAUAGAUGGACCCGCGCCGUAUUAGCUAGUUGGUGAGGUAACGGCUCACCAAGGCAACGAUACGUAGCCGACCUGAGAGGGUGAUCGGCCACACUGGAACUGAGACACGGUCCAGACUCCUACGGGAGGCAGCAGGC